ACCGGGCCUGUGGGGAGAACAUGCACGUCAGUCACUACUGCUUCCCUCUGCAGCAGAGCUUCUGGCAACUCCAGCGCAUCCUGGACACCCAGCCAGAGUGCCCCAAACAUGUCACAGACAUAGUGCUCCUCAUCGACGGCUCGGGCAGCAUCGCACGUGAGGACUUUG